rnacentral:miRNA from 1 species
CACAUUGACAAGAGGCUCACU